rnacentral:rRNA from 1 species
GACGAACCGUGCGAACGUUGUUCGGAAUCACUGGGCUUAAAGGGCGCGUAGGCGGCUCGACAAGUCGGGGGUGAAAUCUUUCGGCUCAACCGGAAAAGGGCCUCCGAUACUGUUGAGCUCGAGGGAGGUAGGGGCGGACGGAACUUCCGGUGGAGCGGUGAAAUGCGUUGAUAUCGGAAGGAACGCCGGUGGCGAAAGCGGUCCGCUGGCCCUCUACUGACGCUGAGGCGCGAAAGCCAGGGGAGCAAACGGG